rnacentral:ncRNA from 2 species
UACAUAAAUAGAGGUGCAGGGAAAAGGGUAGUUUUGGGUGAUAAGGAUAAGAACAUCCAAUACCAAAUACGAAUGGUUUCCUUGCCGAAAGAAUAUAUUAGUUCUUUAAUAUAUUCUUGGUUAUAAAGCAAAAUACUUUAUAACUGCUAUGAAGUAUUCAUAGAGAGCUAUUUAUGUA